GACGAACGCUGGCGGCGUGCUUAACACAUGCAAGUCGAACGGUAAGGCCCUUCGGGGUACACGAGUGGCGAACGGGUAAGUAACACGUGGGUGAUCUGCCCUGCACUUCGGGAUAAGCCUGGGAAACUGGGUCUAAUACCGGAUAGGACCACUGCCUGCAUGGGUGGUGGUGGAAAGCUUUUGCGGUGUGGGAUGGGCCCGCGGCCUAUCAGCUUGUUGGUGGGGUGAUGGCCAACCAAGGCGACGACGGGUAGCCGGCCUGAGAGGGUGACCGGCCACACUGGGACUGAGAUACGGCCCAGACUCCUACGGGAGGCAGCAGUGGGGAAUAUUGCACAAUGGGCGCAAGCCUGAUGCAGCGACGCCGCGUGAGGGAUGACGGCCUUCGGGUUGUAAACCUCUUUCAGCACCGACGAAGCGCAAGUGACGGUAGGUGCAGAAGAAGGACCGGCCAACUACGUGCCAGCAGCCGCGGUAAGAC
rnacentral:rRNA from 1 species